rnacentral:lncRNA from 14 species
CUUAACUAUUUGCCAAGCCCACGGAGGUACAGAUUUUGCUCCCCUAGCCUCCAGAAUUGGAUUCUACUGGAUCUACUGGUCACUGAAGUUGUGGAUGAUGCUGUACAUAUCAUUGGAGACAAGCUUCUCAUACGUGGCCUCGCUCCAUGUGUUCAUUCACUGAUGUCCAGCUUUACCAUCUUAUCCAGUGAAGUCCCCAAGGCUUGCAGCAGGGUUCAAAGACAGAAGGAGCUGACUUCUGAACGCACCAGGUCUGCCUCCCCGAAAAGACUGUUACGAGCUUGUGGAACUUCCCAGAGGCUUCACAGGAGAAAUCCCUGAGGAAAUUUACAGUAGUAACAUAGUAAGUGAGAUUAUCCCUCUAUGUUGUACAAGUUUUAUUCAGCACACACAGACUGUAGGCAAAGACUUGAUGGAAGUGAAAGGACAUAGGCCAGUGUCUAACUGCAUGAUCUCCCUGUGUGUAGGCAAUACCAUGGUCUGAGGCCACACUUGGCAGCUCCUUACUUUUCUUUUAAUGCUUGACUUUCUAACCUUUCAUGUUGUAUUAUAAAAAAAGCAUUAUUUUUACAG